rnacentral:rRNA from 1 species
GACGAACGCUGGCGGCAGGCCUAACACAUGCAAGUCGAACGAGUGGCGGACGGGUUAGUUAUGUCUGUGCAACUGCCUGAUGGAUGGGGAUAACUACUGGAAACGGUUGCUAAUACCGCCUACCAUCGGAUGUGCCCAGAUGGCUUUAGCUAGUAGGUGGGGUAAAGGCUCACCUAGGCGACGAUCCCUAGCUGGUCUGAGAGGAUGACCAGCCACACUGGAACCGAGACACGGUCCAGACUCCUACGGGAGGCAGCAGUGGGGAAUAUUGCACAAUGGGCGCAAGCCUGAUGCAGCCAUGCCGCGUGUAUGAAGAAGGCCUUCGGGUUGUAAAGUACUGUCAGCGGGGAGGCGUUACCCGCAGAAGAAGCACCGGCUAACUCCGUGCCAGCAGCCGCGGUAAUUC